GGAAAAUAAACCAUUUCAGGAGUAAAAACACAGAGUGAAGUAAACGUGUGUCCUGCUGUAAUCUGGAGAAGGAGACAUGACCUCUAACAUGAGAGGGUCUGGAAAACAGGACUUAAAGAAAGACGAGAGAAUGAUGGAGGGAAAGAGAUCAGACUCACCAGAACCCAGCUGUGUGUCCAUGAAGAGUGACACGUCAAUGGAACAUCCAAUACUCUUCAGAGACCGAGACCGUUCUCCUGAUGUGAG